AUUGAACGCUGGCGGCAUGAUUUACACAUGCAAGUCGAACGGUAACAGGCCGCAAGGUGCUGACGAGUGGCGAACGGGUGAGUAAUGCAUCGGAACGUGCCCAGUCGUGGGGGAUAACUACUCGAAAGAGUGGCUAAUACCGCAUACGAUCUAUGGAUGAAAGCGGGGGACCGUAAGGCCUCGCGCGAUUGGAGCGGCCGAUGUCAGAUUAGGUAGUUGGUGGGGUAAAGGCUCACCAAGCCAACGAUCUGUAGCUGGUCUGAGAGGACGACCAGCCACACUGGGACUGAGACACGGCCCAGACUCCUACGGGAGGCAGCAGUGGGGAAUUUUGGACAAUGGGCGCAAGCCUGAUCCAGCAAUGCCGCGUGCAGGAAGAAGGCCUUCGGGUUGUAAACUGCUUUUGUACGGAACGCAACGGCUCUGGUUAAUACCCGGGGCUAAUGACGGUACCGUAAGAAUAAGCACCGGCUAACUACGUG
rnacentral:rRNA from 1 species